rnacentral:rRNA from 1 species
UGCCAGCCGCCGCGGUAAUACGGAGGGUGCAAGCGUUAUCCGGAAUUACUGGGUUUAAAGGGUGCGUAGGCGGCGACGUAAGUCAGAAGUGAAAGUUGGCAGCUUAACUGCAAAAUUGCUUUUGAAACUACGUUGCUUGAAUCAAGUUGAGGCUGGCGGAAUGUGACAUGUAGCGGUGAAAUGCUUAGAUAUGUCAUAGAACACCAAUUGCGAAGGCAGCUGGCUAGGCUUGUAUUGACGCUGAGGCACGAAAGCGUGGGGAGCGAACAGGAUUAGAUA